CGGGGUGGCGUAGUUGGUGGCGCGUCGGACUCAUAAUCCGAAGGUCACGGGUUCGAGCCCCGUUCCCGGCACCA
rnacentral:tRNA from 1 species